rnacentral:misc_RNA from 1 species
AAGUCGUAACAAGGUCUCCGUUGGUGAACCAGCGGAGGGAUCAUUACCGAGUUUACAACUCCCAAACCCAAUGUGAACGUUACCAAACUGUUGCCUCGGCGGGAUCUUCUGCCCCGGGUGCGUCGCAGCCCCGGACCAAGGCGCCCGCCGGAGGAAUCAACCAAAACUCUUAUUGUAUACCCCCUCGCGGGUUUUUUUAUAAUCUGAGCCUUCUCGGCGCCUCUCGUAGGCGUUUCGAAAAUGAAUCAAAACUUUCAACAACGGAUCUCUUGGUUCUG